rnacentral:ncRNA from 1 species
AGCCCUUAUGUCAUCUAUUGCCAAUCUUACACAUGCAAGUAUCUGCACACCCGUGAAAACGCCCUCAACCCCUUAACCAAGGAAGAGGAGUUGGUAUCAGGCACAACCAAUAAGCCCACGACACCUAGCCACGCCACACCCACAAGGGUAUUCAGCAGUGAUAAACAUUGUUUAUAAGCGUCAGCUUGAAUCAGUUAAGGCAAAGAGGGCCGGCAAAUCCGGUGCCAGCCGCCGCGGCUACACCGUUAGGCCCAAGUUGACACACACCGGCGUUAAGCGUGAUUAGAGUGAUUACACAGAUUAGAGUUAAACCCAAAUUUAGUCGUGAUACACUUGUCCCCGGGAAACCCAAAAACGAAAGUUACUCUAACCAACCCACUUGACCCCACGACAGCUAAGACACAAACUGGGAUUAGGUACCCCACUAUGCCUAGCCGUAAAACAUAUACUCACCCCAACAAAUCGCCAGGGAAUUACGAGCCCAAGCUUAAAACCCAAAGGACUUGACGGUGUCCCACCCACCUAGAGGAGCCUGUUCUAUAAUCGAUUCCCCCCGAUAAACCUCACCACUUCUAGCCAACUCAGCCUGUAUACCUCCGUCGUAAGCUUACCAUGGGAACGAAACCAGUGAGCCCAAAGAUCCCACAUCAAUACGUCAGGUCAAGGUGCAGCUAACGAACUGGAAAGAAAUGGGCUACAAUUUCUACAAUAGAACAAACGAAAGACUACAUGAAAUAUAGUCACUGAAGGCGGAUUUAGCAGUAAAAAGGAAAUAGAGAGUUCUUUUUAACAAGGCGCUGGGACGCGUACACACCGCCCGUCACCCUCUUCAAAUG